AUUGGAAGGGGUGUAUUUAUUAGAUAAAAAACCAAUGCCCUUCGGGGCUCUUUGGUGAUUCAUGAUAACUUAACGGAUCGCAUGGCCUUGCGCCGGCGACGGUUCAUUCAAAUUUCUGCCCUAUCAACUUUCGAUGGUAGGUAUUGGCUUACCAUGGUUUCAACGGGUAACGGGGAAUUAGGGUUCGAUUCCGGAGAGGGAGCCUGAGAAACGGCUACCACAUCCAAGGAAGGCAGCAGGCGCGCAAAUUACCCAAUCCCGAUACGGGGAGGUAGUGACAAUAAAUACUGAUACGGGGCUCUUUCGGGUCUCGUAAUUGGAAUGAGUACAAUCUAAAUCCCUUAACGAGGAACAAUUGGAGGGCAAGUCUGGUGCCAGCAGCCGCGGUAAUUCCAGCUCCAAUAGCGUAUAUUAAAGUUGUUGCCGUUAAAAAGCUCGUAGUUGAACCUUGGACCUGGCUGAUCUGUCCUCCUAAUCGAGCGCACGGAUUCGGUCGGGUCUUUCCUCCUGGGGAGCCUCAUGCCCUUCGCUGGGUGUGCUGGGGAACCAGGACUUUUAC
rnacentral:rRNA from 1 species